UGCAGGAGGCCUAUAAAGAACUGGUAAAUGCAGCCAAGAUUAUCUGUAAUACCUAUUCAGGGACACGAUCCAGCCCAGCAGUUCUGCUCUUUGCUUCCUUUUCUCUUAUUUGAGAGAAUGUUGUUAAGAUAAAGUUUGCUCAGCUUUUUUUUUUCACCUUAUUAUAGUUGCUAAGAUUUAUUUGAUGCAAAAAGUUAGUAGAGAAAAGAAAAUACCCUGUUUCCACAACAUCAUCUCAGAAAAAGAAGUUCAGCAACAAAGGAGCAACGUAUUUAUGGUAAAAGUCCAUUUCUUAAGUCAUUUUGAUACACAAAUUAACAAGUUUCUCUACUUGCAGGACUUGGAUAGAUUUGGGUACUUCAGUUUCUCUGUCCAUGAGGAUAGACAAUUGUCUAAGGUGGCUCGUUCUCACUAAAAUAAGGGGACUCAAAGUAUCUAAAAUGCUCUCUCAAAUCUGGUCCAAAGUUGACGUGAUAGCUUUAUGAAGUGUGCAUUGCUGCUUAUGCCUAUGUAAAAGCACAAACCAACAAUGCAGUCAUUUAGAAUAUACACUAUGAAUUCAGUAAAGCAGUACUGAGAAGUAAAAUCUAUAAUAGGAGCUACUGAAGGUUAUCAUCUGAUUUUCUUUGAACAAGUUAAUUGGGCAAUCAGAUGCCUCAUUUGAGCACACUAUUGCUGCAGUUGUUUACAAAUGGUGUGAUUUACAUGCACAAGUGGCAAGACACGCUUGCAUGCACCCAAUUACUUGAUUUUUUGCCCUAUGUGUUCUCUAAGUCAUUAAAGAAAGCAAAAAAGAAAAAUAAGACUCUGAAAUCUAGUAAGACCCUGAAAUAUAUACACAUAUGUGUGUAUGAUUAUAUAUACAUGAAACUAUAUAUUAUGUAGUUACAUAUAUAUAUAUAUAAAAAAAAAAAUCUGGGAUCAGCAGGGAGGAGAAAGAUUGUUUUCUUUAUAAAUAUAAAACCCAAGACACUAAAGGUCCGUGGGUAUACGUAGCCACUGUAUUAUCUUCUUUCCUCUUAGUAAAAUGUGGGUCAUGGUAUUUCUUUGGAUGUUGUAUUUUUUUCAAUGCCCUUAGUAAAAUACCUCAUAGUAAUUCAUAGUCGUUUAUCUUCAAACAUGGAGCUUGCUGAUGGUGCAUUUACUUUGGUAGAAUUAGAAAACGUGGGAUCUUUCCAAGAUCCUCCUGCCAGUUUCACCCUCCCCAUUUUUACAAGCACUCUGAGACUAAUUAUGAAGUGUUCCAUAAUUAAUUUGACUAUCGUUAGACUGACAGUAUUUGCCUCUAUAUUUGUUGUUCCCCUCCUUUUAUUUUUUCCCUUUUUGCUUUGGAAGAUUUUUUUGGAAAUUAAUGUAUCAGAUUGUAUAUUGUUUCUAUAAUGUCAUGGCAUCAUGAGCACCUUCCUGAGGGCACUUUACGAAUUAUUGUAAUAAGAUUAUUCUUUAUGAAUUUCUGCAUGGAAGAAUGGUUUUGUUGCCAGACCAGAUUGCCCUCUGGUACAGAUUUGAUACGGAUUACACAGAGGCACAAAAGCCACAAAUCGUCAAAGCGGGAUAGAAAGUUGGCGUUAACAAAACAGAGGACAGAAGAUACUUGGUAAAUCCUGCCAGGACAAAGCUCAGUUACCAGUGUUUUUACACAACGUUUAAUCAGCAGUUUAUAUUAAAUCAGUUUUGCAUCUUAUGGCUGUGGCAUUUUGAUUCAAAAGCAGGCACUUCUCCAGUUGCCGUGGAUAGCGGUAGCGAGGCAGCGCGGCCGCCCGGACCCGCAUGAAGCGCUCACCAGUCGCUUCAUGCCUUGAACUCAGAUUACUUCAUGUCGCACGAGCACUGCAGCUCCCACCGAGAUCCCCUUCGCCCUCCUGACACACCCAGCAGCGAACAGAAACGUCAGCAAAGCCUUUCAUGUGCUGGCAGUACCAGCACCGUCUGGAAUAACCUCUUCUGGUUUUCAGUCUCUUGCUUCUGUGUUGCUCUAAGCUGCGUCGCUGUCCUCCUCAUGUCCAUUCAGCUCACGCUUCUGCACCGGCCUCUUGGAAGAGUCAGGCUUCUCUGUUUUCCCAAGGAAGGGCUAGCUGUAUGCUGUGGGCAUCUGUCAUCAUCAGUACAUGCAAUUUCCCCUGUUGUGGUUUCUCUGCAGGAGGUAGGUCAUUGUCUCUGACCUCCCAGAGAAGUCAGAAAGAGUGACCUGAAUGCAUCACACAGGCUCUGUGUGCUGCAGGGAUUUGGAUGUGGGUUUGUUCAUGUCAAAAGCCAGAACUUACCCCUGAGAUACAAAAAUGGACGGAUCUAUUUUAUUGGGUUUAACCACUUACUAGUAUUGAUGCUUGUAACAGAAAUUGCCGUGGAGAUCAACUGUAUAGAUCUCAAAUAUUUUUCUUCAGGAGCUGUCUUGCUAAACAAAGCUGUUUCCCACUUCCCCAUUUACCCCAUCCCCCCAAA
rnacentral:lncRNA from 1 species